rnacentral:rRNA from 1 species
UACGUAGGGGGCUAGCGUUGUCCGGAAUCAUUGGGCGUAAAGAGCGUGUAGGCGGCUCGGUAAGUCCGCUGUGAAAGUCCAGGGCUCAACCCUGGAAUGCCAGUGGAAACUGUCGGGCUAGAGUCCGGAAGGGGCGAGUGGAAUUCCUGGUGUAGCGGUGAAAUGCGCAGGAUAUCAGGAGGAACACCAAUGGCGAAGGCAGCUCGCUGGGACGUGACUGACGCUGAGACGCGAAAGCGUGGGGAGCAAACAGG